rnacentral:rRNA from 1 species
AUCUACGGCCAUACUACCCUGAACACACCCGAAGUUGAAAGCUAAGCAGGGUCGGGCCUGGUUAGUACUUGGAAGGGAGACCUGGUGGGGGUCCCCUUAAAGAGUCUCAGGAU